AUAAUCUGUUUCCUUUUCAGGUCAUAUAAACCUUUUGCUUUUUACUAAAGAUUUCUGUGAAGAGAAACAAGUCUGAGUUUCUAGGAAUCUUUUUUGAGGCUUUGCUUCAGUAAGGCU
rnacentral:snRNA from 1 species